rnacentral:rRNA from 1 species
UACGAACGCUGGCGGCGCGCCUAACACAUGCAAGUCGAACGAGUGGAGUUCCUUCGGGAACAAAGCUAGUGGCGGACGGGUGAGUAACACGUGAGGAACCUGCCUUUCAGAGUGGGAUACCGUUUGGAAACGAACGUUAAUACCGCAUAAUGUAUAUUGAUCGCAUGGUCGAUAUACCAAAGAUUUAUCGCUGAGAGAUGGCCUCGCGUCUGAUUAGAUAGUUGGUGAGGUAACGGCCCACCAAGUCUACGAUCAGUAGCCGGACUGAGAGGUUGAUCGGCCACAUUGGGACUGAGACACGGCCCAG